rnacentral:lncRNA from 1 species
CAAAUAAUUACAGCCUCAAAUCUGACCUUGUUUUGAGCAGGAGUUUGGACUGGAGAUCUCUUGAGGUCCCUUCGCCCUGAAUUAUUCUGUGGUGUUACAAGAUCAGUUACAAGAUCAGCAUUCUGCCCUGAGAAAUCAAUAGUACAAGCUUCUUAAGGACUCUAAUAGCUUACCAAAAUGCAUAAGCUGUAUGCUAUGAGGCAGAGAUACUAAUGAACACUUUCCUUUUUUCUUCCCCCAGCUUUUUUUUUUUUUUUUAAACUAUCCUGAACAUUUCUCCCCAAGUUUUUAGAAGAUGCAGUUUAAAGCUUGUUUCCGGAUGAAUAAAAUCACAGCUUUAUUAUUUGCUAGAACUCCCCUGCCCAAUUUUGUCUCACCACCUCAACUGAGCAUGCUGUAGAACUACUCUUCCUCUGUCUGGAAUUCCUGGGAUAUCCAGCACAACACUAUUCCAUAUUGGACCUCCCCUUGAGGUUAAACAAAUUAAAUUGGAAAAAGUCAGACAUCAUGGCAAAGAAUCUUUUGAUGAGAAUUGGAAAAGCCAACUUUCUGAAAGCAUGGUGUUAAACCAAAUUGAAAGGUGACUAAAAUGUGGGACAAUAUCAAGAAGGAAUCUAAGAAAUGUAAUUCUAUUUCAAUUGAAAUAAUUAAGAAUAACACGUUAUAUUAGCUGGAAAAGGAGAAAAUGGAGAACUCAUGAUUCCUAGGCAGAAAGAAAAGUGAGAUUAGGAAGAGUCUUUUGUUUUAUAACAGCCAUGGACUUUAGACAUCCUCAUCUGUAGUCAUCAUGCUUCCAGUCUCUAAAAGAGAGACACAAUGCAAUAGCUUUCUUAUAUUAAAGGGAAAGAGUGUUUCCCCAUGAAGAUCCAUUCAGUUACUUUGAUGCUGCAUGUGUUUUGAAAGUAAACUACAUACAAGGCCAGCUAUAGAACUCCAUUAAAGAUUGUUAAAAAAGUCAUCGUGAUUCACCUUUUUAACCUUGUCUCCAGCUUUCUAACAAAGAAUCUUGGUGGGUUUUUUUUUUGGUGUUUUUUUUUUUUGUUUUGUUUUUGGUUUUUUUAAUCAGAGUAAGUAUAUUCAACUUACAUAGGUUAAAAACAAGAGCAGGUGAAGUUGACAAAAACUGUAGUUAUUGGAAUUGCUCUGGAUUUAAUGGAUA